AGUAAUACAUCGGAACGUGCCUAGUAGUGGGGGAUAACUACUCGAAAGAGUAGCUAAUACCGCAUGAGAUCUACGGAUGAAAGCAGGGGACCUUCGGGCCUUGUGCUACUAGAGCGGCUGAUGGCAGAUUAGGUAGUUGGUGGGGUAAAGGCUUACCAAGCCUGCGAUCUGUAGCUGGUCUGAGAGGACGACCAGCCACACUGGGACUGAGACACGGCCCAGACUCCUACGGGAGGCAGCAGUGGGGAAUUUUGGACAAUGGGCGAAAGCCUGAUCCAGCAAUGCCGCGUGCAGGAUGAAGGCCCUCGGGUUGUAAACUGCUUUUGUACGGAACGAAAAGCCUGGGGCUAAUAUCCCCGGGUCAUGACGGUACCGUAAGAAUAAGCACCGGCUAACUACGUGCCAGCAGCCGCGGUAAUACGUAGGGUGCAAGCGUUAAUCGGAAUUACUGGGCGUAAAGCGUGCGCAGGCGGUUUUGUAAGACAGUGGUGAAAUCCCCGGGCUCAACCUGGGAACUGCCAUUGUGACUGCAAAGCUAGAGUGCGGCAGAGGGGGAUGGAAUUCCGCGUGUAGCAGUGAAAUGCGUAGAUAUGCGGAGGAACACCGAUGGCGAAGGCAAUCCCCUGG
rnacentral:rRNA from 1 species